AUUGAACGCUGGCGGCAGGCCUAACACAUGCAAGUCGAGCGGAUGAAGGGAGCUUGCUCCUGGAUUCAGCGGCGGACGGGUGAGUAAUGCCUAGGAAUCUGCCUGGUAGUGGGGGAUAACGUCCGGAAACGGGCGCUAAUACCGCAUACGUCCUGAGGGAGAAAGUGGGGGAUCUUCGGACCUCACGCUAUCAGAUGAGCCUAGGUCGGAUUAGCUAGUUGGUGGGGUAAAGGCCUACCAAGGCGACGAUCCGUAACUGGUCUGAGAGGGUGAUCAGUCACACUGGAACUGAGACACGGUCCAGACUCCUACGGGAGGCAGCAGUGGGGAGUAUUGGACAAUGGGCGAAAGCCUGAUCCAGCCAUGCCGCGUGUGUGAAGAAGGUCUUCGGAUUGUAAAGCACUUUAAGUUGGGAGGAAGGGCAGUAAGUUAAUACCUUGCUGUUUUGACGUUACCAACAGAAUAAGCACCGGCUAACUUCGUG
rnacentral:rRNA from 1 species